GAUGAACGCUGGCGGCGCGCCUAACACAUGCAAGUCGAACGAUUAAAGCACCUUCGGGUGUGUAUAAAGUGGCGAACGGCUGAGUAACACGUGGGCAACCUGCCCCUUUCAUUGGGAUAGCCACGGGAAACCGUGGAUAAUACCGAAUACUUCGAGACUUCCGCAUGGAAGACUCGAGAAAGCUCCGGCGGAGAGGGAUGGGCCCGCGGCUUGUUAGCUUGUUGGUGGGGUAACGGCCUACCAAGGCAAUGAGGGGUAGCUGGGGUGAGAGACCGACCAGCCAGGUUGGGCCUGGGCAACGCCCCAGCCGCCUCAGGUAGGCAGCAGUCCGGAUCGGCGCUAAAAGCGCGAACGCCUGCUGCAGCGACGCAGCCUGCGGGAUGUAGCCCUUCGGGUGGUAAACCCCUUUCACCGGCACCGAGGCGAAAGCGUCGGUACCUGAAGAAGACGCCCCGGCUAACUGCGU
rnacentral:rRNA from 1 species